GUCAGGAUGGCCGAGUGGUCUAAGGCGCCAGACUCAAGGAUAAUAUCCUUAACCAGAACAAUGAGUAUUCUGGUCCACGAAUGUGGGCGUGGGUUCGAAUCCCACUUCUGACA
rnacentral:tRNA from 1 species